rnacentral:rRNA from 1 species
CCCUUAGAUGUUCUGGGCCGCACGCGCGCUACAAUGAUGAAUUCAACGAGUUUAUAACCUUGGUUGAAAAGCCUGGGUAAUCUUUUGAACUUUCGUCGUGAUGGGGCUAGACCCUUGCAAUUAUUGGUCUCCAACGAGGAAUUCCUAGUAAACGCAAGUCAUCAGCUUGCAUUGAUUACGUCCCUGCCCUUUGUACACACCGCCCGUCGCACCUACCGAUUGAAUGGUCCGGUGAAAUCUUCGGAUUGAGACUUUGAUUUCUUCACGGAAAACGCUGUUUUAAAAAGUUGAUUAAACCUUACCAUUUAGAGGAAGGUGAAGCCGUAACA